rfam:Fungal sp. No.14919 DNA, contig: Contig0045.
UCCUCGGUGGCGCAAUUGGCUAGCGCGUCUGACUGUUAAUCAGGAGGUUGAAAGUUCGAGCCUUUCCCGGGGAG